rnacentral:rRNA from 1 species
ACGUAGGUGGCGAGCGUUAUCCGGAAUGAUUGGGCGUAAAGGGUGCGUAGGUGGCAGAUCAAGUCUAGAGUAAAAGGUAUGGGCUCAACCCGUACUGGCUCUGGAAACUGAUCAGCUAGAGAACAGAAGAGGACGGCGGAACUCCAUGUGUAGCGGUAAAAUGCGUAGAUAUAUGGAAGAACACCGGUGGCGAAGGCGGCCGUCUGGUCUGGAUUCUGACACUGAAGCACGAAAGCGUGGGGAGCAAAUAG